CCCGGCACAAGCAGCGGAGCGUGUGGUUUAAUUCGAUGAUACACGAAGAACCUUACCCAGGCUUGACAUGUUGGUGGUAGGGAUCCGAAAGGUGACCGACCUUCGGGAGCCUUCACAGGUGCUGCAUGGCUGUCGUCAGCUCGUGUCGUGAGAUGUCCGGUUAAGUCCGGUAACGAGCGCAACCCUCGCUGUGUGUUAUAUGUGUCACACGGGACUGCCGGUAUCAAGCCGGAGGAAGGUGGGGAUGACGUCAAGUCAGCAUGGCCUUUAUGUCUGGGGCUACACACACGCUACAAUGGCCAGUACAAUAGGUUGCAAGACCGCGAGGUGGAGCCAAUCCUUAAAGCUGGUCUCAGUUCGGAUUGCAGGCUGCAACUCGCCUGCAUGAAGUCGGAGUUGCUAGUAACCGCGCGUCAGCCAUAGUGCGGUGAAUACGUUCCCGGGCCUU
rnacentral:rRNA from 1 species